rnacentral:rRNA from 1 species
UUAUCAAAAACAUGUCUUUUUGAAAAUAAUAUAAAGUCUAAUCUGCCCACUGAUUUUAUAUUGAAGGGCUGCAGUAUUUUGACUGUACAAAGGUAGCAUAAUCAUUAGUCAUUUAAUUGAUGACUUGUAUGAAAGAUUGGAUGAAAUAUAAACUGUCUCUUAAUUAAAUUAUAGAAUUUAAUUUUUUAAUUAAAAAGUUAAAAUAAAUUAAAAAGACGAGAAGACCCUAUAGAGUUUUAUAAAUAAAUUAAUUAAGAUUAUUAAUAAAUUUUAAAAAUUAAAAUUAAUUUAUUUAUUUUGUUGGGGUGACAAAAAAAUAAAUUUAACUUUUUUUAUAUAGAACCAUAUAUAAGUGAUUAAAUGAUCCAUUAAUAAUGAUUAAAAGAAAAAAUUACCUUAGGGAUAACAGCGUAAUUUUUUUUUUUAGUUCGUAUAAGAAAAAGAGUUUGCGACCUCGAUGUUGGAUUAAGAUAAAAUUUAAAUGCAGAAGUUUAAAAUUUU